UGUUUGGACUUAUGGAAGAAAGUGAAUCUCUUUUAUUUACAAAAAGCUUCCGAACCCAUUCCACUGCAAUUUGGCAAGCUUAAUCCACUCUGAAGGGACUCAUAAAUGUCAUUCACUUUGUCAAAAGGGGAGAAGAGUUACAGCUGUUUUUAGAUUUCCCAUUAUAGUGAAAGGGGAACCACAGAGCUUCAUUUGAUACAACUCAGAACCCAAAUUAAAGAUUGAAGCGGGGAAAAGUAGUGUGUCUGAAAACAGAUCAGUAAUUUUAAAAUGCACAAACUCAGCUACAAGACAAAUCUUGGAGCCUGCGCACACCCCUAAAACAUACAGAAUGGAUUAAGAGUGGAUUUAAGGCUUCCAUCUUGCCAUUGAGUUAUGAAUCCCUCUGGGGCAUCAGGCCAGGUCAGAGGGAAGGGAAGAGCAGUCGGGAGGCAGGUCAAUUUUUACAGGGGAACUUGGGUGUGGAAAUAUUGCAGGGCUGUAUAUAUAAAACCAGAAGAGACUCCCUAAGGAUGUCUGAGCCUGGGCGACAACAGACGUGGAGGAAGAAAGGAGCAGAAAGGAGACGCCAAUAUGAAGACUUCCUUUGCCUUCCUGCUACUUCUGCUAGGUUCAGCUUCGACUUUUUGGCUGCAUGAAACAAAAGUAACAAUAAAAGAAACAAAAGAAACCAAC